rnacentral:rRNA from 1 species
CCUACGGGAGGCAGCAGUGGGGAAUAUUGCACAAUGGGGGAAACCCUGAUGCAGCGACGCCGCGUGAGUGAAGAAGUAAUUCGUUAUGUAAAGCUCUAUCAGCAGGGAAGAAAAUGACGGUACCUGAGUAAGAAGCCCCGGCUAACUACGUGCCAGCAGCCGCGGUAAUACGUAGGGGGCAAGCGUUAUCCGGAUUUACUGGGUGUAAAGGGAGCGUAGACGGCAGUGCAAGGCUGUAGUGAAAGGCGGGGGCACAACCCCCGGACUGCUCUGGAAACUGUACGGCUGGAGUGCAGGAGAGGAAAGUGGAAUUCCUAGUGUAGCGGGGAAAUGCGUAGAUAUUAGGAGGAACACCAGUGGCGAAGGCGGCUUACUGGACUGUAACUGACGUUGAGGCUCGAAAGCGUGGGGAGCAAACAGGAUUAGAUACCCCUGUAGUC